rnacentral:rRNA from 1 species
GACGAACGCUGGCGGCGUGCUUAACACAUGCAAGUCGAACGGAAAGGCCCUGCUUUUGUGGGGUGCUCGAGUGGCGAACGGGUGAGUAACACGUGAGUAACCUGCCCUUGACUUUGGGAUAACUUCAGGAAACUGGGGCUAAUACCGGAUAGGAGCUCCUGCUGCAUGGUGGGGGUUGGAAAGUUUCGGCGGUUGGGGAUGGACUCGCGGCUUAUCAGCUUGUUGGUGGGGUAGUGGCUUACCAAGGCUUUGACGGGUAGCCGGCCUGAGAGGGUGACCGGCCACAUUGGGACUGCGAUACGGCCCAGACUCCUACGGGAGGCAGCAGUGGGGAAUAUUGCACAAUGGGCGGAAGCCUGAUGCAGCAACGCCGCGUUCGGGAUGACGGCUUUCGGGUUGUAAACCGCUUUCGCCUGUGACGAAGCGUGAGUGACGGUAAUGGGUAAAGAAGCACCGGCUAACUACGUG